AGUGAACGCUGGCGGUAGGCCUAACACAUGCAAGUCGAACGGCAGCACAGUAAGAGCUUGCUCUUACGGGUGGCGAGUGGCGGACGGGUGAGGAAUACAUCGGAAUCUACUUUUUCGUGGGGGAUAACGUAGGGAAACUUACGCUAAUACCGCAUACGACCUACGGGUGAAAGCAGGGGAUCUUCGGACCUUGCGCGAUUGAAUGAGCCGAUGUCGGAUUAGCUAGUUGGCGGGGUAAAGGCCCACCAAGGCGACGAUCCGUAGCUGGUCUGAGAGGAUGAUCGGCCACACUGGAACUGAGACACGGUCCAGACUCCUACGGGAGGCAGCAGUGGGGAAUAUUGGACAAUGGGCGCAAGCCUGAUCCAGCCAUACCGCGUGUGUGAAGAAGGCCUUCGGGUUGUAAAGCCCUUUUGUUGGGAAAGAAAAGCAGCAGGUUAAUACCCCGCUGUUCUGACGGUACCCAAAGAAUAAGCACCGGCUAACUUCGUG
rnacentral:rRNA from 1 species